rnacentral:rRNA from 1 species
ACAGGAUUAGAUACCCUGGUAGUCCAUGCCGUAAACGGUGGGCGCUAGGUGUGAGGGUCUUCCACGACUUUCGUGCCGUAGCUAACGCAUUAAGCGCCCCGCCUGGGGAGUACGGCCGCAAGGCUAAAAACUCAAAGGAAUUGACGGGGGCCCGCACAAGCGGCGGAGCAUGUGGAUUAAUUCGAUGCAACGCGAAGAACCUUACCUGGGCUUGACAUAUGCAGG